rnacentral:rRNA from 1 species
GACGAACGCUGGCGGCGUGCUUAACACAUGCAAGUCGAACGGAAAGGCCCUGCUUUUGUGGGGUGCUCGAGUGGCGAACGGGUGAGUAACACGUGAGUAACCUGCCCUUGACUUUGGGAUAACUUCAGGAAACUGGGGCUAAUACCGGAUAGGAGCUCCUGCUGCAUGGUGGUGGUUGGAAAGUUUCGGCGGUUGGGGAUGGACUCGCGGCUUAUCAGCUUGUUGGUGGGGUAGUGGCUUACCAAGGCUUUGACGGGUAGCCGGCCUGAGAGGGUGACCGGCCACAUUGCGACUGAGAUACGGCCCAGACUCCUACGGGAGGCAGCAGUGGGGAAUAUUGCACAAUGGGCGGAAGCCUGAUGCAGCAACGCCGCGGGCGGGAUGACGGCCUUCGGGUUGUAAACCGCUUUCGCCUGUGACGAAGCGUGAGUGACGGUAAUGGGUAAAGAAGCACCGGCUAACUACGUG